AAAAAAUAUCAAAUUAGAAGAAAAAAUCAUCACAAUUCAGUACAAAUUACGAUCAAUUUGGUUUUUUUCAUAAAAUGUCUUAUAAAAUAGGCCUUACCCCUCCCCUCCCAUAUUUAAAACCCUGACACCUCUAAAUCAGAAUAUUUUGGAUCGGCCAUCUUUUAAAAAAAAUUAAAAUCACUCACUACUCUAAAAGUUGUCCACUGUAAUCACAAAUAAGCCACCUUAGUGUACAUCACUCCUGAAAGUUGUUUGGUGUUUUUAAAUCACAGUUACUGCCUACUAUCUUAAGUAGAUACCAUUAUACAUAAUAAUAAGCACAAGAGUAGGUCAUAAUAUUUUCAUCUACUGACUAUUAAAAUUCAAGUCAACGAUAAAAUAGUGAACUACAUUUUAUACAAUAAGAAGAAAAAAAGGUUCUCUCUUUAGUCAAUAAUUUUUUAAAAGAAAUAAAUCAAAUCGUAACACUUUACAUACAGGUCAAUAAUCGGCGGUUUCAAAAUAUCUAAUGCAUUUUGGAAAUAUUUCAAAAGCAUACACCAAAAUGUUGUGAUUGGUUAAAA
rnacentral:lncRNA from 1 species